rnacentral:lncRNA from 1 species
UUACGUCCAAAGGAUUAUCAGAAGAAGCAAUCUUUAUUUUAGGAAAAACACUAGUGUUGAUUACAACAGCAUGUAUAGCUUGUGGAUAAACUCUAGUAGCCAUUAAAGAUGAUAUAGAAGCUCCUCUAGUUGGCUGUAAUCUUAAUUUAACAUCAAAAUCAUCUAUAAUUUGAAUGAUAGAAGAAUCUGUAAUAUAAAGAACUUUUUCUGAAGUUCCAUGGUGGUAAACUGGGUUUUUCUGUCGUUCAACUCAUCUGUAGUGAGAGAAUUAUAAUCUUGUUAAUUUUUUUUUAAAAAAAUUACAAACCUUGUAAGUGAGAAACAUUUACCAACCAUAAAUUUAUUAUAUAAUCGUGCACACAUGGAUGAAUCACCAUAUACAGUUAAAGUUUGCAAGCCAUGCAUAUC